CAGAAGUUUCCAGUCUCAAUGGAAAGAGUCCAGAUCUUGCAGCCCGAUCUACAGAUGCCUUCUGGAGCUUUGAUUCAUGUGCCACGUUACUUGGGCAACUUGCCCUUCAGAGUCUGGAAGAAGAUGCGGGACAUAGUCCAAAACACUCCUGUGAUUCUGGAUCCAAACACGGCUCAUCCACGUCUCCUCGUGUCUGAUGAUCUGACCAGUGUGAGAUUCGGCGAG